rnacentral:rRNA from 1 species
CACUUCUAAGGAAGGCAGCAGGCGCGCAAAUUACCCAAUCCUGACUCAGGGAGGUAGUGACAAGAAAUAACAAUAAACCGGCUUAUGCCGGUUUAAUUGGAAUGAGUACAAUUUAAACAUCUUAACGAGGAACAAUUGGAGGGCAAGUCUGGUGCCAGCAGCCGCGGUAAUUCCAGCUCCAAUAGCGUAUACUAAAGUUGUUGCAGUUAAAAAGCUCGUAGUUGGAUUUCUGUGGGGACGGAGCGGCCGGCCGCACAUCGCGGUCCGAGCUAGCGCUUUCCCUACAUCCUGCCGCGAACCGUGCUACCAUUAAUUUGGUGGCGCCGGGGAUCGGCUCGAUUACUUUGAGAAAAAUAGAGUGUUCAAAGCAGGCCACAUGCCUUGAAUAAGUUAGCAUGGAAUAAUAACUAAGGACUUCGGUUCUAUUUUGUUGGUGUUCGGGACUGAAGUAAUGAUUGAUAGGGACAGUUGGGGCGGUCUGUAUUCCAAAGCGAGAGGUGAAAUUCUUAGACCUUCGGAAGACAAACAGCUGCGAAAGCGUUCCGCAAGGAUGUUCCCUUUGAUCAAGAACGAAAGUUGGGGGAUCGAAGACGAUCAGAUACCGUCGUAGUCUCAACUAUAAACUAUACCAGCUAGGGAUCGGCCAACGUUAUUUAAACCGACUUGGUCGGCACCUUAUGAGAAAUCAAAGCAUCUGGGUUCCGGGGGGAGUAUGGUCGCAAGGCUGAAACUUAAAGGAAUUGACGGAAGGGCACCACCAGCCGUGGAGCCUGUGGCUUAAUUUGACUCAACACGGGAAAACUUAUCAGGUCCAGACAUAGUAAGGAUUGACAGAUUGAUAGCUCUUUCUUGAUUCUGUGGGUGGUGGUGCAUGGCCGUUCUUAGUUGGUGGAGUGAUUUGUCUGGUUAAUUCCGUUAACGAACGAGACCCCAGCCUGCUAAAUAGCGCGUGUGAGCUUUGCUCGCAGCGAGCUUCUUAGAGGGACUAUGAUGCGCGAUAGCACAUGGAAGUUUGGGGCAAUAACAGGUCUGUGAUGCCCUUAGAUGUUCUGGGCCGCACACGGGCUACACUGGCGCCUGCAACGAGCAUAUCAGCUGGCCCGAGAGGGUCUUGGCUAAUCUUUUGAACCGGCGCCGUGCUUGGGAUUGACCUUUGCAAUUGUUGGUCAUGCAACGAGGAAUGCCUUGUAAACGCGAGUCAUCAGCUCGCAUUGAAUACGUCCCUGCCCUUUGUACACACCGCCCGUCGCUCCUACCGAUGAAUGUUCCGAUGAAAUUUUCGGAGAGUGCCUGUGAACUUGGCUCUGCCUUGCGAACGGGAAGCUCAAAGUCACUUAAAUCUGAACAUUUCGAGG